rnacentral:rRNA from 1 species
ACACGACUACAUUAGAUACCCGCGUAGUCCUAGCCGUAAACGAUACUCGCUAGGUGUCGGCCACGGUGCGACCGUUGUCGGUGCCGUAGGGAAGCCGUGAAGCGAGCCACCUGGGAAGUAUGGCCGCAAGGCUGAAACUUAAAGGAAUUGGCGGGGGAGCACAACAACGGGUGGAGCUUGCGGUUUAAUUGGAUUCAACGCCGGAAAUCUUACCGGGACCGACAGCAACAUGAAGGCCAAGCUGAAGACUUUGCCGGAUUAGCUG